GCUAAAACUUACUACCGAAGCUACGGCAUCAGUAAUGAUGGGUAGGGGAGCUUCCCAUACGGGUUGAAGCAUGACCGUAAGGACAUGUGGACAGUAUGGGAGUGAGAAUGUUGGCAUGAGUAGCGAGAUGUGGGGGAGAAUCCCACAGGCCGUAAACCCAAGGUUUCCAGGGGAAGGUUCGUCCGCCCUGGGUUAGUCGGGACCUAAGCUGAGGCCGAAAGGCGUAGG
rnacentral:rRNA from 1 species